UCUGCUCAAUGAUUUUUUAAAUUGCUGUGGUAUUUUGACUAUACGAAGGUAUUGAAAUAAGAUUUUAAAUGAGUGCUAAGAGAAUGGUUGAACAAUUAAAGACUUUCUUUAUUUAAAAAAUUAAAUUUAAUUUUUUAAAGUGCAAAAGCAAAAAUGAAGAUUUGGGACAAGAAGACCCUAUGAAUUUUUAUUUAUUUAUAAUUUUUUAAAAAUUAUAAAUAAAUUUGAUUGGGGCGAUGGAUAAAGAAUAGAUAUCUUUAUUUAAAUUUAAAAAAU
rnacentral:rRNA from 1 species